GAGUAUGAGAUGGAUAUCUAGGCAUAUGAAAUUAAGGACGUAGCGUAUUUACGAAAAGUUGUGAUGAGAAACGCAAUCUACUAUGAAUCACAAAUCUCCUAGGGUAAACCAUACGUUUUAGUAUUUACUACUAAAUUAAUUGAAACAUCUUAUUAGUUUAAGGAAUAGAAAUCAAACGAGAUUUCAUUAGUAGUGGCGAGCGAAAAUGAAUUAGAGUACAUACAAUAAAAAAGUUAAAUAAUUUGAAAUAAUUAACUAUAAAAGGUUAAAGUCCUGUAAGCUUUUGCGUAUAUUUGUAGUAGAAGAGAUUUCGAGGAGAUCUCUUUGAAUAUUGGAGGACCAUACUUCAAACUCUAAAUAUCUUCAUAUGACCGAUAGAAUAAAGUACUGUGAAGGAAAGAUGAAAAGAAUUCUUAGAUGGAAGUGAAAAGAUUUUGAAAUCUAAUACUCUCAACCGACCGAAGUAUUUAAAAUAUGACGGUGUGCCUUUUGUAUCAUGCAUUAGCGACUUUAAAUUUACAGCAAGCUUAAAUUGUUAAAUGUAAGCGUAGUUAAAGCAAGUGUUCAGUAUACACUAAAUAGUUGUAAAUUUAAGACCCGAAUCCAAGUGAUCUAGUUAUGAACAGGUUGAAUGCAUAAUAAUUUAUGUUGGAAGACCUAACUCGUAACUGUUGCAAAAGUUUGAGAUGAUUUGUAAUUAGGGGUGAAAGGCCAAUCAAACUUGGUGAUAGCUGGUUUUCCACGAAAUAUAUUUAGGUAUAGCGUAAUUUUAGGUAGCAAAGGGUAGAGCUCUUUUUAAACUAGGGGAGUCAAUAAACUUUACUGAAUUUAGAUAAACUACGAAUAUUUGCUAAAUUUAAGAUUAUAGUCAGACUUUGAGUGCUAAGAUUUUAAGUCAAGAGGGAAACAGCCCAGAUUAUUAACUAAGGCCCAUAAAUGAAAGCUAAGUGAUAAAGAAAGUGAUUAGACCAAGAUAGUUAGAAGGUGAGCUUGGAAGCAGCUAUCCUUUAAAAAAUGCGUAAUUGCAUACUAAUUGAAAAUAUUUUAUUUAAGUCUAGUUGCGUCGAAAAUUCAUAGGACUUAUGCUUUCUGCCGAAGUUAUAAAUUUAAAUUAAAAUAAUUUAAAUGGUAGUGGAACGUUUUUUAAGCCAGUGAAGUUAAAUUGUUAAAUUUAAUCGAGGUAUAAAAAGUGAGAAUGCUAAUAUAAGUAACGUUAAACAAUGUAAAAAGCAUUGUCGCCUAAAAUUUAAAGUUUUCUAUGCAAUGUUUAUCAUCGUAGAAUCAAUCGGUCUCUAAGAAUUUAAUAUCGAUAGAUAUGUUUGAUGAGAAUGUGAAACAAGGAAAUAAUUAAAAUUAAUUUUUUAUAUAUUGGUUUUUAAAAAUAUUUUUUUACUUAUCUAGAAAUACUUGUUUUUACUUUACCGUACUUAAUCGACAAAGAAAAAUAAGCAUAAUUGUGCUGCGGCGUUUGAAUUAAUCACUCUUAAGGAACUCGGCAAAAUAGUUCUGUAACUUCGGGAUAAAGAACACCUUUUAAUAAAGGUUUUAUAAAUAGGGAAUAGCGACUAGUUAAUAAAACUACAAGACUUUGCUAAAUUGUAAAAUGAUGUAUAAGGUCUGAUAUCUGCCCAGUGCUAGAAAGUUAUUUUAUGUGGUGAAAGCUAUGUAAAUAAGCUUUAGUAAACGGCGGUUGUAACUCUAACAAUCCUAAGGUAGCGAAAUUCCUAGUCAAUUAAUUGUUGACCUGCAUGAGAGAUAUAACGACUUUUCCACUGUCUCAAGAGUGAAUUCAGUGAAAUUAGAUUUUGCGUGAAGAUACGCAAUAACGGCAGUUAGACGGAAAGACCCCAUAAACCUUAACUAUAAUUUUAGAAUGUUUUUACAUAUAGCUUGUGUAGUAAUAAGUGGUAGUCGAUAGCAUGUCUUAACGUUAGUUAAUUACAGAGACAAAAAUGAAAGACCACUCUAGUUAUUUUGUAAAACUAAAUUAAAUUUUUAAUGAUAAUCUAAGAUGGUUAGUUUGACUGGGGCGGUAGUCUCCAAAAAAGUAACGGAGACCUACAAAGGUAGGCUCAAAUUUAGAUAAUAAAUUUUCGAACGCAAUGGUAUAUGCCUGCUUGACUGUGAGACAUACAAGUCGAACAGAGACGAAAGUCGGUCAUAGUGAUCCUAUGAUUUUGAAUGGAAAAGUCAUAGCUUAAGGAAUAAAAGGUACUUUGGGGAUAACAGGCUGAUAAUUCUCGAGAGCUCUCAUCAACAGAAUUGUUUGGCACCUCGAUGUCGACUCUUCAUAUCCUGGGGCUGAAAAAGGUCCCAAUGGUUUGGCUGUUCGCCAAUUAAAAUGGAACGUGAGUUGGGUUUAGAACGUUGUAAAACAGUUUGGUCCCUAUCUGCUGUCGUUGAAUAAUAAUUUAGAAAAUUUGCUUUUAGUACGAGAGGACCAAAGCAAGAUAACCUAUGGUUUGUCAAUUAUUCUACCUAGAGUAUGUUGAUUAUCUACGUUAUUUUUUUAUAACUACUGAAAGCAUCAAUGUAGGAAGAAGAUUUCGAAUCAAAUUAUUUAAAAUACGUAAUAGACUAUUACGUUGAUAGGUAACUUGUUAGUUUUGGUAACAUAAAAUUGCUUAGUUAUACUAACUUUAAAAAACAUUUUAUAAAU
rnacentral:rRNA from 1 species